AUUGAACGCUGGCGGCAGGCCUAACACAUGCAAGUCGAGCGGAUGAAGGGAGCUUGCUCCUGGAUUCAGCGGCGGACGGGUGAGUAAUGCCUAGGAAUCUGCCUGGUAGUGGGGGAUAACGUCCGGAAACGGGCGCUAAUACCGCCUACGUCCUGAGGGAGAAAGUGGGGGAUCUUCGGACCUCACGCUAUCAGAUGAGCCUAGGUCGGAUUAGCUAGUUGGUGGGGUAAAGGCCUACCAAGGCGACGAUCCGUAACUGGUCUGAGAGGAUGAUCAGUCACACUGGAACUGAGACACGGUCCAGACUCCUACGGGAGGCAGCAGUGGGGAAUAUUGGACAAUGGGCGAAAGCCUGAUCCAGCCAUGCCGCGUGUGUGAAGAAGGUCAUCGGAUUGUAAAGCACUUUAAGUUGGGAGGAAGGGCAGUAAGUUAAUACCUUGCUGUUUUGACGUUACCAACAGAAUAAGCACCGGCUAACUUCGUG
rnacentral:rRNA from 1 species